rnacentral:lncRNA from 1 species
UCAUGGAUUGUGAGUUUCCUGAACACGAGGGAGAGGGAUCCCUAGGUGGUUCAUAAGUCGUAAAAGAGUUUUACAAGUAUAGUGGAAAUCUCAAGUGAGUUGCUUGAGGACUGGACAUAGGCACGGGAAGUGGCCCGGGAAGUGGUCGAACCAGUAUAAAUUGAGUUUGUAAUUCUCUAUUCCCUUAUCUCACUUGUAUUAUUGUAAUUAAUUUUUGUCUUGCACAUUUAAAGAACAUUGAUUAAAUUGAUUGUUGCAUCUUUUUCUGCAUAUUAAAUCUGUCAUAUAUCAUUUAAAGAGGGGAUUAAAGUUUGUUAGUAGAAAAAUUUUGAAACUUAAUUCACCCCUCUUAAGUUAUUGAGGUCACUUGUCCAACAUACAUUCGUUGCUUUAUUUCAAAAUGUCAAUUCGAAAAUUUGAAUCUGAUUAUUCAAAAGUUAAAAAAAAAGAGUUGAUGUUUUAAUUGAA